rnacentral:rRNA from 1 species
GACGAACGCUGGCGGCGUGCUUAACACAUGCAAGUCGAGCGGUAAGGCCCUUUCGGGGUACACGAGCGGCGAACGGGUGAGUAACACGUGGGUGACCUGCCCUCAGCUCUGGGAUAAGCCCGGGAAACUGGGUCUAAUACCGGAUAUGACUCCAUGACGCAUGUUGUGGGGUGGAAAAGCCUUGUGCGGCUGAGGAUGGGCCCGCGGCCUAUCAGCUUGUUGGUGGGGUGAUGGGCCACCAAGGCGACGACGGGUAGCCGGCCUGAGAGGGCGACCGGCCACACUGGGACUGAGAUACGGCCCAGACUCCUACGGGAGGCAGCAGUGGGGAAUCUUGCGCAAUGGGCGAAAGCCUGACGCAGCGACGCCGCGUGAGGGAUGACGGCCU